rnacentral:rRNA from 1 species
UACAGAGGUCUCAAGCGUUGUUCGGAUUCAUUGGGCGUAAAGGGUGCGUAGGUGGCGCGGUAAGUCGGGUGUGAAAUUUCGGAGCUUAACUCCGAAACUGCAUUCGAUACUGUCGUGCUUGAGGACUGGAGAGGAGACUGGAAUUUACGGUGUAGCGGUGAAAUGCGUAGAUAUCGUAAGGAAGACCAGUGGCGAAGGCGGGUCUCUGGACAGUUCCUGACGCUGAGGCACGAAGGCCAGGGGAGCAAACGGG